UUUGAAUUUGAUGAACUUGUGUACAACUGCCAUUUUAGAGGAGUAUCCAGACAUAGUCUUCUCAUAUGGGUUCAGUGAUGAGUACAGUUUUGUUUUCAAGAAGACAUCCAAGUUCUACCAGAGGCGUGCCAGGAGUUGAAAUAUCCCCCAUCAUUUCAGUCACGGGUAAUAU